CCCUUAGAUGUUCUGGGCUGCACGCGCGCUACACUGAUGCGUUCAACGAGUCUGCCUUGGCCGAGAGGUCUGGGUAAUCUUGUGAAAGCGCAUCGUGAUGGGGAUAGAUUAUUGCAAUUGUUAGUCUUCAACGAGGAAUUCCUAGUAAGCGCGAGUCAUCAACUCGUGCUGAUUACGUCCCUGCCCUUUGUACACACCGCCCGUCGCUCCUACCGAUUGAGUGAUCCGGUGAGUAAUUCGGACUGCAGCAGUGUUCAGUUCCUGAACGUUGCAGCGGAAAGUUUAGCAAACCUUAUCACUUAGAGGAAGGAGAAGUCGUAACA
rnacentral:rRNA from 1 species